rnacentral:piRNA from 1 species
UAGAAUUACAAAAUUUUAUUUGGGCCA